AUGUUGGGCCUAUUUGAGCGAUGUGCAAAAUGAAAGGCCGAUAUUGCAGUAAUUCGAAAUGUAGGCGGUAUUUGCAAUUCUAUACAAAAUGCAAAAGGAUAUUUUCUUUUAGCCUCCAAAAAAAUCCCUUGAUCCCCUCACCCUCACUCUCACCUCCGAGAUUCUUUCAAUAGACAGAUCUCAUAGAAGAAACUAUCUCCUCCACACACCUCUGUGCAAUCAAAGGCAUAUUUGCUCCUAAUCCACUCCUUGUUAAGAAACAUGGCUCGAGCCCUACCUCCUUCUUGAUCAAGCUGCUAAAGGGAAUAUAGCGUGUGGCAUAAUGGGUAGUUGUCGCCCUCA
rnacentral:lncRNA from 1 species